rnacentral:rRNA from 1 species
GACGAACGCUGGCGGCGUGCUUAACACAUGCAAGUCGAACGGAAAGGCCCUGCUUUUGUGGGGUGCUCAAGUGGCGAACGGGUGAGUAACACGUGAGUAACCUGCCCUUGACUUUGGGAUAACUUCAGGAAACUGGGGCUAAUACCGGAUAGGAGCUCCUGCUGCAUGGUGGGGGUUGGAAAGUUUCGGCGGUUGGGGAUGGACUCGCGGCUUAUCAGCUUGUUGGUGGGGUAGUGGCUUACCAAGGCUUUGACGGGUAGCCGGCCUGAGAGGGUGACCGGCCACAUUGGGACUGAGAUACGGCCCAGACUCCUACGGGAGGCAGCAGUGGGGAAUAUUGCACAAUGGGCGGAAGCCUGAUGCAGCAACGCCGCGUGCGGGAUGACGGCCUUCGGGUUGUAAACCGCUUUCGCCUGUGACGAAGCGUGAGUAACGGUAAUGGGUAAAGAAGCACCGGCUAACUACGUG